UACGAGGGGAGCAAGCGUUGUUCGGAUUUACUGGGCGUAAAGGGCGCGUAGGCGGUCGUGACAAGUCACUUGUGAAAUCUCCGGGCUUAACUCGGAACGGUCAAGUGAUACUGUCGGACUAGAGUACAGAAGGGGCAACUGGAAUUCUCGGUGUAGCGGUGAAAUGCGCAGAUAUCAGGAGGAACACCGAUUGCGAAGGCAGCUCGCUGGGACGUUACUGACGCUGGAGACGCGAAAGCGUGGGGAGCAAACAGG
rnacentral:rRNA from 1 species